rnacentral:rRNA from 1 species
AUGAACGCUGGCGGCGUGCCUAAUACCUGCAAGUCGAGCGAACAGACGAGGAGCUUGCUCCUCUGACGUUAGCGGCGGACGGGUGAGUAACACGUGGAUAACCUACCUAUAAGACUGGGAUAACUUCGGGAAACCGGAGCUAAUACCGGAUAAUAUAUUGAACCGCAUGGUUCAAUAGUGAAAGACGGUUUUGCUGUCACUUAUAGAUGGAUCCGCGCCGCAUUAGCUAGUUGGUAAGGUAACGGCUUACCAAGGCAACGAUGCGUAGCCGACCUGAGAGGGUGAUCGGCCACACUGGAACGGAGACACGGUCCAGACUCCUACGGGAGGCAGCAGUAGGGAAUCUUCCGCAAUGGGCGAAAGCCUGACGGAGCAACGCCGCGUGAGUGAUGAAGGUCUUCGGAUCGUAAAACUCUGUUAUUAGGGAAGAACAAAUGUGUAAGUAACUAUGCACGUCUUGACGGUACCUAAUCAGAAAGCCACGGCUAACUACGUG